AAGGAUGCAAUCUCACCAAAAGUACCAACAGGAAAUGUAGAGCUGCCCUAUCCACACGGUCCAAGCUACUCAGGUCCAGUCCCUGAAAAUAGAAAUGGAAAUGUGGCCGAAAGGCCUAAACUCCACAUGCCUAAUAGGAAUCAUGAACAUUCCCUAAUAAAAAUAUAAGACAAGCCUUAAAGAGUUGUAAGAUAUUCGAUAACGAUUGAUAUAAGAAAGAAGCAUUUAGAAAAUAAAAUAAUCAGAUAAAAAAUCAUGUUGCAUUUUUUAUUUAUUGAGAGCACUAAACCAUCACCAGCACGAGGAAAAGUCAACUAGGUUUUGUACCUAGCGGCAAGUAUCAUAUACCUUACUUUCU
rnacentral:lncRNA from 1 species